rnacentral:rRNA from 1 species
GACGUAGGUGGCAAGCGUUAUCCGGAAUUAUUGGGCGUAAAGCGCGCGCAGGCGGUUUCUUAAGUCUGAUGUGAAAGCCCACGGCUCAACCGUGGAGGGUCAUUGGAAACUGGGAAACUUGGGUGCAGAAGAGAAGAGUGGAAUUCCACGUGUAGCGGUGAAAUGCGUAGAGAUGUGGAGGAACACCAGUGGCGAAGGCGACUCUUUGGUCUGUAACUGACGCUGAGGCGCGAAAGCGUGGGGAGCAAACAGG